GAUGAACGCUGGCGGCGUGCCUAAUACAUGCCAGUCGAGCGAACGGACGAGAAGCUUGCUUCUCUGAUGUUAGCGGCGGACGGGUGAGUAACACGUGGAUAACCUACCUAUAAGACUGGGAUAACUUCGGGAAACCGGAGCUAAUACCGGAUAAUAUUUUGAACCGCAUGGUUCAAAAGUGAAAGACGGUCUUGCUGUCACUUAUAGAUGGAUCCGCGCUGCAUUAGCUAGUUGGUAAGGUAACGGCUUACCAAGGCAACGAUGCAUAGCCGACCUGAGAGGGGGAUCGGCCACACGGGAGCGGAGACACGGACAAGAGUCCUACGGGAGGCAGCAGUAGGGAAUCUUCCGCAAUGGGCGAAAGCCUGACGGAGCAACGCCGCGUGAGUGAUGAAGGUCUUCGGAGCGUAAAACUCUGUUAUUAGGGAAGAACAUAUGUGUAAGUAACUGUGCACAUCUUGACGGUACCUAAUCAGAAAGCCACGGCUAACUACGUG
rnacentral:rRNA from 1 species